UAGGAUUUGGUGUAGUGUGGUAGCACGGAGAUUUUUGAGUUCUCGGGUUUAGGUUCAAGUCCUAUAGUCCUAG
rnacentral:tRNA from 1 species